GGUAUCGAUAUCACCGCAUCAGAGACACGCACUCCACCGUCAACAUCGACGUCUCUCUCCCCUUCACCGGCGAGGAAAAUCAACCUCACAUAGAUGAAGAAGGCGAAGAUGAAAUGAAAGAAUCGGAGAGAUGUGUGUUUCCUAAUUGAACCUCAGACAGGUCUUCAAGCCAUUACAGAUAAUAAUGGGUUUCUAUCAAGUAAACACAUUAGUCUUUUAAUCUGGAUCAGUUCCGACUUUCAUGUGACGCUCUGAACUCUCAAAUGAAUUG